UACGAAGGGUGCUAGCGUUGUUCGGAAUCACUGGGCGUAAAGGGUGCGUAGGCGGCUUGACAAGUCUGAUGUGAAAGCCCGGGGCUUAACCCCGGAACUGCAUUGGAAACUGUCUCGCUGGAGUGUGGAAGGGGUAAGCGGAAUUCCUAGUGUAGAGGUGAAAUUCGUAGAUAUUAGGAGGAACACCAGUGGCGAAGGCGGCUUACUGGUCCACAACUGACGCUGAGGCACGAAAGCGUGGGGAGCAAACAGG
rnacentral:rRNA from 1 species